UUGAACGCGCACUUAAUCCUCUCCCUCGUUUCCACUUUGUGAGAAACUUUUCCUCUGAGUCCUAUGACCUGCUGAUCAUUAACACCACUGAGACCGAUGAAGGGCUCUACUACUGUGGAACUGAAACGUUUUAUGUGGAGAGUGAAAAACAAAUUAUUCGCAGACAUCUUUACACAAAUGGCAACGUCUCAACAAGAAUCCGAUUAAACUCCAGUGAGCCUGAUCACAAUGAGACUUCACAAAACUGUGGUGUAAUGCGAGACUGCAAUGGUGUGUGCUGGAUGCUGCUGUUCUCUCUGUGUCCAGCUGUUGCUGCUCUGUCCUCUCUCCUCUCCUCUCUCCUGGUGUACCACCUCUGUAAGAAAGAAGCUAAAGAACCUCAAACUGAUCAGCAAACACCUCAAACAAGACAAAAUCAGGAUCAAGAUGUGUGCUUUGCUGCACUGGAAAUUCGCCCGGCGUCACAUCGACCAAAGAGGACGACAACCCAGAGUUCUGUCACCUAUUCUGCCAUCAACACUUCUAGGAUGUAAAGAGUUUGAACAACAGCACAAAGCAGAAUAUAUGACUGAGGUGUAAGAAAAUGUGCAUAAAAUACAUUUCAGUCAGAAAACUCAUGUUUUUCUUUGAUUUGUUUAUUAGAAGCAGCAUACUUUGAGUUUGGCUUCUUGGCUCGGGCCUCAUCACUCCACAGACUUACAGAGAACAUUGCAGGCGAGCCUACAGGUGCAGGCAGCAAUGUAAAGGCAGCAGCAGCAUUAGCGAGGCAGAGACAGAUAGAUCUGAGUUAUAUAGAGCGGCAGGUUUAGGAGAAUGUGUUUAGUGGGUUGUAAGAGGGACGAGGCACGUCACGUUUGAAUUCAUUGGUUCUUGAGUCGACUGCCUGAACUAGCUGCAGGCUUCGCCCCAUUUGUAGUAGUUUUUAAUUUUUCCAAGUUCAUACGUUGCAAAGUUCUCUAUAUUACUCUCUAAAUUACUCCAUUUCUAAUUUCCUGACACCACUUAAAAAAGCUAGCUACAGUAGUACAGCAUGGUAGAUGGUAACAAUAACUUUUGUGCAAGGGUUAUUCAAAUGUGUCUGUAAUUGUUCAGACAAAAGAAUACCUAAAAAUAAUAAAAUCAAUUUGAAUGGCAACAAAUAUGUAAAUGUAAUUGCUGUCCCAGCUA